rnacentral:rRNA from 1 species
GAUGAACGCUGGCGGCGUGCCUAAUACAUGCAAGUCGAGCGAACAGACGAGGAGCUUGCUCCUCUGACGUUAGCGGCGGACGGGUGAGUAACACGUGGAUAACCUACCUAUAAGACUGGGAUAACUUCGGGAAACCGGAGCUAAUACCGGAUAAUAUAUUGAACCGCAUGGUUCAAUAGUGAAAGACGGUUUUGCUGUCACUUAUAGAUGGAUCCGCGCCGCAUUAGCUAGUUGGUAAGGUAACGGCUUACCAAGGCGACGAUGCGUAGCCGACCUGAGAGGGUGAUCGGCCACACUGGAACUGAGACACGGUCAAGACUCCUACGGGAGGCAGCAGUAGGGAAUCUUCCGCAAGGGGCGAAAGCCUGACGGAGCAACGCCGCGUGAGUGAUGAAGGUCUUCGGAUCGUAAAACUCUGUUAUUAGGGAAGAACAAAUGUGUAAGUAACUAUGCACGUCUUGACGGUACCUAAUCAGAAAGCCACGGCUAACUACGU